rnacentral:rRNA from 1 species
UACGGGGGGGAGCAAGCGUUGUUCGGAUUUACUGGGCGUAAAGGGCGCGUAGGCGGCCACCGCAAGUCGACUGUGAAAUCUCCGGGCUCAACUCGGAGGGGCCACCCGAUACUGCUGUGACUCGAGUCCGGUAGGGGGAGUGGGGAAUUCCUGGUGUAGCGGUGAAAUGCGCAGAUAUCAGGAGGAACACCGGUGGCGAAGGCGCCACUCUGGGCCGGUACUGACGCUGAGGGAGCGAAAGCGUGGGGUAGCAAACAGG